ACUAAGCCAUGCGAGUCAUUGUAGCAAUACAAGGCAUACGGCUCAGUAACGCGUAGUCAACCUACCCUAUGGACGGAAAUAACCUCGGGAAACUGAGAAUAAUAUCCGAUAGAACAUUAUGCCUGGAAUGGUUUAUGUUCCAAAUGAUUUAUCGCCGUAGGAUGGGACUGCGGCCUAUCAGUUUGUUGGUGAGGUAAUGGCCCACCAAGACUAUUACAGGUACGGGCUCUGAGAGGAGUAGCCCGGAGAUGGGUACUGAGACACGGACCCAGGCCCUAUGGGGCGCAGCAGGCGAGAAAACUUUGCAAUGUGCGAAAGCACGACAAGGUUAAUCCGAGUGAUUUCUGCUAAAGAAAUCUUUUGUUAGUCCUAGAAACACUAACGAAUAAGGGGUGGGCAAGUCCUGGUGUCAGCCGCCGCGGUAAAACCAGCACCUCAAGUGGCCAGGAUGAUUAUUGGGCCUAAAGCAUCCGUAGCCGGCUCUGUAAGUCCUCGGUUAAAUCUGUACGCUUAACGUACAGGCUGCCGGGAAUACUGCAUAGCUAGGGAGUGGGAGAGGUAGACGGUACUCGGUAGGAAGGGGUAAAACCCUUUGAUCUAUUGAUGACCACCUGUGGCGAAGGCGGUCUACCAGAACACGUCCGACGGUGAGGGAUGAAAGCUGGGGGAGCAAACCGGAUUAGAUACCCGGGUAGUCCCAGCUGUAAACUAUGCAAACUCAGUGAUGCAUUGGCUUGUGGCCAAUGCAGUGCUGCAGGGAAGCCGUUAAGUUUGCCGCCUGGGAAGUACGUACGCAAGUAUGAAACUUAAAGGAAUUGGCGGGGGAGCACCACAAGGGGUGAAGCCUGCGGUUCAAUUGGAUUCAACGCCGGGAA
rnacentral:rRNA from 1 species